CCUACGGGAGGCAGCAGUGAGGAAUAUUGGUCAAUGGGCGCGAGCCUGAACCAGCCAAGUAGCGUGAAGGAUGACUGCCCUACGGGUUGUAAACUUCUUUUAUAAAGGAAUAAAGUGAGGCACGUGUGCCUUUUUGUAUUUACUUUAUGAAUAAGGAUAGGCUAACUCCGUGCCAUCAGCCGCGGUAAUACGGAGGGUCCGAGCGUUAUCCGGAUUUGUUGGGUUUAAAGGGAGCGUAGAUGGGUUGUUAAGUCAGUUGUGAAAGUUUGCGGCUCAACCGUGAAAUUGCAAUUGAUACUGGCAGGCUUGAGUACAGUUGAGGUAGGCGGAAUUCGUGGUGUAGCGGUGAAAUGCUUAGAUAUGACGAAGAACUCCGAUUGCGAAGGCAGCUUACUAAACUGCCACUGACAUUGAUGCUCGAAAGUGUGGGUAUCAAACAGGAUUAGAUACCCCUGUAGUC
rnacentral:rRNA from 1 species